UUUCAACUUAGUAAUAGAGGUUUGUGUUACAAGUGCAGGUACAGGCCAUUUUAGCAGUUAGUGAUAAACAGCUGCAGAGAGACAAGCUUAGAACAAAAUCAAGUUAAAUGCAGGAUCAUGUUUUCAAAUGCAGU